CCAGACUCUGUAAUAUUGAGAAACUACCCUACAACCUUCACACACAGUGAGAACCCCUCAUCUAACAUUCACUAGAAUAAAAAUCACACCUUCAACAUAAACUUGCAAGGAGAAAGUUCCUUUCUAACAGCUAGAAAUUCUCUACAGAACCCAAUUACUAUUUUAUCUUAUCAUUGACAAUUGUCUCUCCAACAUUCUUUAUGAAGACCACUCUCAUUAAUAAUCUCUAACAGUAAGAUUCCCUCCCCAACAAUCUCUGGAAUACAGUGCUCAAAAGAUUGCAUACCCUUGGAGAAUUGGAAAUAUAUGUACCAUUUAAAAAAAAAAAAAAAAACAUGAGUGAGCAGGCAAAACACAUUUCUUUUAUUUCUUAUGGGAUUCAUAUUCAAC